rnacentral:rRNA from 1 species
GAUGAACGCUGGCGGCGUGCCUAAUACAUGCAAGUCGAGCGAACGGACGAGAAGCUUGCUUCUCUGAUGUUAGCGGCGGACGGGUGAGUAACACGUGGAUAACCUACCUAUAAGACUGGGAUAACUUCGGGAAACCGGAGCUAAUACCGGAUAAUAUUUUGAACCGCAUGGUUCAAAAGUGAAAGACGGUCUUGCUGUCACUUAUAGAUGGAUCCGCGCUGCAUUAGCUAGUUGGUAAGGUAACGGCUUACCAAGGCAACGAUGCAUAGCCGACCUGAGAGGGUGAUCGGCCACACGGGAGCUGAGACACGGUCCAGACUCCUACGGGAGGCAGCAGUAGGGAAUCUGCCGCAAUGGGCGAAAGCCUGACGGAGCAACGCCGCGUGAGUGAUGAAGGUCUUCGGAUCGUAAAACUCUGUUAUUAGGGAAGAACAUAUGUGGAAGUAACUGUGCACAUCUUGACGGUACCUAAUCAGAAAGCCACGGCUAACUACGUG